AACGCUGGCGGCAGGCCUAACACAUGCAAGUCGAACGGCUCUUCGGAGCAGUGGCGGACGGGUGAGUAACGCGUGGGAACGUGCCCUUUGGUUCGGAACAACACAGGGAAACUUGUGCUAAUACCGGAUGAGCCCUUCGGGGGAAAGAUUUAUCGCCAUUGGAGCGGCCCGCGUUGGAUUAGGUAGUUGGUGGGGUAACGGCCCACCAAGCCGACGAUCCAUAGCUGGUCUGAGAGGAUGAUCAGCCACACUGGGACUGAGACACGGCCCAGACUCCUACGGGAGGCAGCAGUGGGGAAUCUUGCGCAAUGGGCGAAAGCCUGACGCAGCCAUGCCGCGUGUAUGAUGAAGGUCUUAGGAUUGUAAAAUACUUUCACCGGGGAAGAUAAUGACGGUACCCGGAGAGGAAGCCCCGGCUAACUUCGUGCCAGCAGCCGCGGUAAUACGAAGGGGGCUAGCGUUGCUCGGAAUUACUGGGCGUAAAGGGCGCGUAGGCGGACAGUUUAGUCAGAGGUGAAAGCCCAGGGCUCAACCUUGGAAUUGCCUUUGAUACUGGCUGUCUUGAGUUCGGGAGAGGUGAGUGGAAUGCCGAGUGUAGAGGUGAAAUUCGUAGAUAUUCGGCGGAACACCAGUGGCGAAGGCGACUCACUGGCCCGAUACUGACGCUGAGGCGCGAAAGCGUGGGGAGCAAACAGG
rnacentral:rRNA from 1 species